CGCCACUCUUCUUCUCAUUUCGCCUUCUCCAUUUUCUGCAAAAUCUCCACUGUGCUUAAAUGUUGUCAUCCACAUCAAGGGUUCAAGUAACAACAACAAUUUACUCUGUAUAAUCUCACAAGUGGUGUUUGAAGAGGAUAGAAUGUAUGCAAAAGUGGCGUCUCCGAUAAACCGUCCAUCAAAAGAUAAGAGUUCAAGGAAUAUAACCCAAAAUAUAUGAAUGUUUGGAGAGGAUAGAAUGUACGCAAAAGUGGCGUUUCUGAUCAAAAAGAUAAGGGUCCAAGGAAUAUAGCCCAAUAUAUAUGAAGGGACAACUAUGAGAACAAAGAUAGAGAACUAGAUAUGUACAAAAUUACAAGAUUGAUUCUCCUGUUUGCAUCCAAAGCUCUGAUUUGAGUUUGUGUAUUACAAUAUUUUAGAUACUAUUUAUAAACAAUUUGAGUUUAAACAUUUUAUAUUGUCCUUUA